GUUUCAUGUUGGUCGCCUGGUUUAAAAAGAAAUUAAACUAUCUUCUUCACAUUCUUGUAAUGAUCUCCCUCCUUUUGUGCCUCCUUCCAGAGUGAAUCACAAAUUUCAUAGAGAAGGUGGGCAGAUGGCUCAAGUCUGUACUGUUUGAAAUCCUUACAGGGUCAUCUCUUCCUAUGUAGGUGUUGCAGCUAGGGAUUGUGGCUCCUGAUUUUGGAUCAGGGAAUGGUGGCCCGGAGCCUUCCUGCCUGGGACUGAGUUACCGGAGGGUCUCUCACUUCUCUUCUUAUCCUAAGCAGUGUUUCCCAUUUGUUUGUUUGUUUCUUUGCAGUACUGAGGAUCCAACUGAGGACCUUGCGCUUUUGAGGCAUGGUGCCACUGAGCUAAAUCCCCAGCCAUCCCCCCAUUGUUUAUUAUACUUUUCCUGCUCCAAUCUUCUCCAUCUGGCCUGGUCUUUGUCUUGGUUGCUUUUUAUUAAGCAGACCUUCCUGGAUGGGUCAGGACAAGUUCCCAUGCAGAACAGAGAAGCUGUUGUAGGAGACCUGCAACAGCCCCUCUACCCUUCUGUCUUCUUCAGUCAGGUGGUAGGAUUUUCUUUCAGUGGGCUCAUAGUCUUUUAUACCAGAAUUAGAGGAUCCUGGAAGUGCAGAUCCUACAAAGGAAGGCUCAGUGACUCAUUAAUCCUAAGACACACUAACUUCAGCAGGGAAUCUCUGUCUCUGACUGUCUGUCUGUCACCCACCCUCUCUCAGCCUCAGUCCUGAAGUUGAACCUAGGGCCUCACACAUGCUCCGCAAGUACUCUGUCUCUGAGCUUCAGCCCCAGUCCUCAUUGGGGUUCUAGCCGUGAUUUGGAGGAAGAGACUGGAACUGGGACCAUCCAGAACCUGCAGAGCAUGGACCCAGGGGAGAACCUGGGGAUACCCAGAAGGGCAUUUACACAACAAUUUUAUGAACAAACAGGUUAGCAGAGCACAUCGGUUGCAUUCCUGAACGAGAGCUGAAGUUAGCAUCUUCCUCUGAGACCCCAAGUGGUGUCUCUCUAAUGACAAGGGAAUAUUCUUGCACAUGUGCAGAUGUCGGGCAGUGGGCGGCAAGAGAAGGGACAGAGCUGCUUACAUCUGUUUCUUUUGUAACCAAGAGCAAAACUGUGGUGCUCAGGCAGCCCAGCAGGGCCAAUCGGCACAAUGCCCAAACACACCGACAACUUUUGCCUUGGCCUCCUCUUGGCUCUCCCUGCAGCAAACCUGUGAACACAGGGCCAGAGCCAGGCUCUGGAUGGAAGGACUCAAAGGUGUCCUGCCUUUCUGUUGCUUCCAUCUGCACCAUCACUGGAAAAAUCCUCCUACGUCCAUGCCUGUCCUUCGACGUAUACAAGCAGGUUUUGAUUUCACGCGUGGAGUUUUCUAGUGGAACAUUACGUUGAGUUACAUGUCAUCAGUCAUACACCACCAAGCCACCCUCCGGUAACUCACUGGGACAUGGAGCAAGUGUCCUUGGCUGCAACAGUUACAGAGCAUGGGGGGUGGACCCCAGGACGGCCACUGCCACCUUCUGUGGACACCUCUGCUGACCUUCCCUACCCUUGUUCAUCCAUGCUCCCCUGCCUUCCUUCCAACACCUGUUUUUUUCUCCCUUGAGAAGGAGGAAGGCAGGUGGGGGUCUUGCGCGCAGAUCUUGGCCCCAGCCUUGCUUCGCCUCUUUACAGUGGAUCUUCAAGCUACAUACUUCUCUAAGCUCGGGUUACUCCUCUAAAAAUGGGCACAAUAGUACUUGCCUGCUGAAGUGAUCCAGAAACUUGCUGAGUUUUUCCUUCAAAUAAAUAAACAAGUAAAACCAACCAUUUCCUACUUAGACCCUCCG
ensembl:lncRNA